rnacentral:tRNA from 1 species
UUAUUAUUAUUAGAGUAGUAAAUAUAAUUAAUAUAGAACUUAUAAUAUAAUAUCCUUUAAUAAUUAA